AAUGAAAUCUUGUCUUUGUUGUUUGAGGGUUGAUUUUAAGUUUAAAGAAGUACUAUUAUUAAAGAAUAAGUAAUUAUGAAAGAAAGUUUAAAUGGGACUAUAGUUAAAAAGUAUCGUAAGAGAAAGAUUUAGUUAGUGGUUUGAGAUAGAGUAGAAAUAAAUAUUUGUACCUUUUGUAUCAGGGGUUAUCAAUGUUGUCGGCAGAUAUUGCUGAAAUCUCGAAGUGAGAAGAGCUAGUUUUUUGUGUGUUAUUAUGUAGUAAAAUGAUAUGUAAUUGGAGGCUAGUAAUGAUAUUUUAGUCGAGUCUCAUAUAUCUAGUUUUCUUUGAAGUAAAUUUAAUUUAGUCAUUAGGUUUAAAGAGGUUUAAUGGGUAAAGACAGAGGGGAAGAGCUCUUUGUUUAAAUGUUUAUAGAAGUAGAAAGUUGUUAAUAUUGAAUUAGGCUUAAAAGCAGCUAAAUUUAUAGGGCGUUCUAGCUAAGGUAUUAAUUGGGAAAUUUUAUGUUUUUCUUAAAGGGGUUAGGGGAAAAUAGUUUAGGUUGUGGUUAAGCUAGUUAAAAUGGUUAUAUAAGUAUGUGGUGUUGUUAUAUUUUUAUUUGAAAUAUAAGAGUCCUUUUACAAGGAAAGAGGUAUGAAAAAGGAAUUCGGCAAUAAAUGCUUCUGCCUGUUUAUCAAAAACAUGUCUGUGUGAAAUUAAUAUAAAGUCUGGCCUGCCCACUGAAUAUUUUUAAAGGGCCGCGGUAAUUUGACCGUGCGAAGGUAGCAUAAUCAAUAGUCUCUUAAUUGGAGGCCGGAAUGAAGGGUCGUACAAGAAGCAGUCUGUCUUUUUUAUAAAAAUUGAAUUUAACUUUUAAGUGAAAAGGCUUAGAUUUUCUGGGGGGACGAUAAGACCCUAUAAAACUUUACAUGGGUUGGUUGGUUUUUAAAUUUAAGUGUUAGCGAAAAUUAUCUUUAUCUUGUUACGUUGGGGCGACGAAAAUAUAAGUUGUAACUGUUUGUUGGUUAAAAUAAAAAUAUUUAGAAAUGUUGAUCCUUUAUUAUGGAUUAUAAGAAUAAGUUACUUUAGGGAUAACAGCGUGAUUUUUUCUGAGAGUUCUUAUCGACGAAAGUAGUUGCGACCUCGAUGUUGAAUUAAAGUUUCGUCAAGGUGUAGGAGCUUUGAUUUGUGGGUCUGUUCGACCUUUAAAACUUUACAUGAUUUGAGUUCAAACCGGUGUGAGCCAGGUUGGUUUCUAUCUUUUAGGUUUAUAGGGGCUGCUCUAGUACGAAAGGACCGGGCCGCCGAAAGAUUUUUUUAGUUAAGAUGAAUAUAA
rnacentral:rRNA from 1 species